UUUCUAUCAAAAUCAUUAGUCUUUAUUCAGAAGAGAUCUGAUAGUUUUGAUAGGAAGG
rnacentral:pre_miRNA from 1 species